rnacentral:rRNA from 1 species
GACGAACGCUGGCGGCGUGCUUAACACAUGCAAGUCGAACGGAAAGGCCCUGCUUUUGUGGGGUGCUCGAGUGGCGAACGGGUGAGUAACACGUGAGUAACCUGCCCUUGACUUUGGGAUAACUUCAGGAAACUGGGGCUAAUACCGGAUAGGAGCUCCUGCUGCAUGGUGGGGGUUGGAAAGUUUCGGCGGGUGGGGAUGGACUCGCGGCUGAUCAGCUUGUUGGUGGGGUAGUGGCUUACCAAGGCUUUGACGGGUAGCCGGCCUGAGAGGGUGACCGGCCACAUUGGGACUGAGAUACGGCCCAGACUCCUACGGGAGGCAGCAGUGGGGAAUAUUGCACAAUGGGCGGAAGCCUGAUGCAGCAACGCCGCGUGCGGGAUGACGGCCUUCGGGUUGUAAACCGCUUUCGCCUGUGACGAAGCGUGAGUGACGGUAAUGGGUAAAGAAGCACCGGCUAACUACGUG